rnacentral:rRNA from 1 species
AGCUCAAAUUUGAAAUCUGGCUUCGGCCCGAGUUGUAAUUUGCAGAGGAUGUUUCUGGCGCGGUGCCUUCCGAGUUCCCUGGAACGGGACGCCACAGAGGGUGAGAGCCCCGUAUGGUUGGAUACUAAGCCUGUGUGAAACUCCUUCAACGAGUCGAGUAGUUUGGGAAUGCUGCUCAAAAUGGGAGGUAAAUCUCUUCUAAAGCUAAAUAUUGGCCAGAGACCGAUAGCGCACAAGUAGAGUGAUCGAAAGAUGAAAAGCACCUUGAAAAGGGGGUUAAACAGUACGUGAAAUUGUUGAAAGGGAAGCGCUCAUGACCAGACUUGUGCUGGGCAGCUCAUCCGGGGUUCUCCCCGGUGCACUCUGCCCAGUUCAGGCCAGCAUCGAUUUUUGCUGGGGGAUAAGAACGGUAGGAACGUGGCCCUCCUUCGGGUGGGUGUUAUAGCCUACCGUACGAUACCCUGGUGGAGAUCGAGGUUCGCGCAUCUGCAAGGAUGCUGGCGUAAUGGUCAUCAGCGACCCGUCUUGAAACACGGACCAAGGAGUCGUCCAUUAGAGCGAGCGUUUGGGUGUAAAACCCGCACGCGUAAUGAAAGUGAAAUUAGGUGAGAGCUUCGGCGCAUCAUCGACCGAUCCUGAUGUUCUCGGAUGGAUUUGAGUAAGAGUUUUAACGGACGGACCCGAAAGACAGUGAACUAUGCUUGUAUAGGGUGAAGCCAGAGGAAACUCUGGUGGAGGCUCGCAGCGGUUCUGACGUGCAAAUCGAUCGUCAAAUAUGAGCAU